rnacentral:tRNA from 1 species
CGGGGUGUCGUAUACCGGCAGUACGCCUGCUUUGGGAGCAGGUUGACCCAGUUCGAUUCUGGGCACCCCGA